AUCCUUUUGUAGUUCAUGAGCGUGAUUGUUCAUGCAGCUGCGUGACAUGUGCCUCUGUCAACUCUUGUUACGAUAGAGGCACAUUACUCAUCUGACG
rnacentral:snoRNA from 1 species